ACGCUCGACACCUACGGGAAGCAGCAGUGGGGAAUAUUGCACAAUGGGGGAAACCCUGAUGCAGCGACGCCGCGUGAAGGAAGAAGUAUUUCGGUAUGUAAACUUCUAUCAGCAGGGAAGAAGAUGACGGUACCUGACUAAGAAGCCCCGGCUAACUACGUGCAGCAGCCGCGGUAAUCUGAGCGGGCUGGCAAGGC
rnacentral:rRNA from 1 species